UCCAGCACUACUCUCUCUCCAGUAGUGUAACUUGUCUAGAGAAAACGAUCUCAAACCCGCAAUCUUGCAUAGGAGAGCUGUAACUCAGCAAGUAAGAUUGAAGGAAAUGACCAUUAACACAGUCAAGGAAAAUCUUAUUAAAAGCAUUCU